ACGAACGCUGGCGGCGUGCUUCACACAUGCAAGUCGCACGGAAAGGCCCUGCUUUUGUGGGGUGCUCGAGUGGCGAACGGGUGAGUAACACGUGAGUAACCUGCCCUUGACUUUGGGAUAACUUCAGGAAACUGGGGCUAAUACCGGAUAGGAGCUCCUGCUGCAUGGUGGGGGUUGGAAAGUUUGGGCGGUUGGGGAUGGACUCGCGGCUUAUCAGCUUGUUGGUGGGGUAGUGGCUUACCAAGGCUUUGACGGGUAGCCGGCCUGAGAGGGUGACCGGCCACAUUGGGACUGAGAUACGGCCCAGACUCCUACGGGAGGCAGCAGUGGGGAAUAUUGCACAAUGGGCGGAAGCCUGAUGCAGCAACGCCGCGUGCGGGAUGACGGCCUUCGGGUUGUAAACCGCUUUCGCCUGUGACGAAGCGUGAGUGACGGUAAUGGGUAAAGAAGCACCGGCUAACUACGUG
rnacentral:rRNA from 1 species